UACGUAGGGUCCGAGCGUUGUCCGGAAUUAUUGGGCGUAAAGAGCUCGUAGGUGGUUUGUCGCGUUGUUCGUGAAAACUCACAGCUUAACUGUGGGCGUGCGGGCGAUACGGGCAGACUGGAGUACUGCAGGGGAGACUGGAAUUCCUGGUGUAGCGGUGGAAUGCGCAGAUAUCAGGAGGAACACCGGUGGCGAAGGCGGGUCUCUGGGCAGUAACUGACGCUGAGGAGCGAAAGCGUGGGGAGCGAACAGG
rnacentral:rRNA from 1 species